rnacentral:lncRNA from 1 species
GACCAAUGCCGUGACUCCGUGAAGCACUGAGGUUGUGAGGUCUAUUAUACUCAUGACAGUAAUAAUAUAGCGAGCUGUCAUGGCUACGUAUGGCCUAUGCCAUAGCAUCAGUUGCUGUGCUGCACCUGCCUGCACGCCUCAAACUCGGUUGCUGUGCAUAGAUGAGGUCUGCCGCAGCACAUGGAGCGCCUCCACUGGCCACUGCAUGGCCUGAGAUGCCUUGCGUAGCACCAUCUCGGCCAUAGGACAAACACAACAUCACAUCCUAUGUUGCGUUCACACCCAAAUUUGGAUUACGAUGGGACUCAGGGAUCGGAGGUGGCCUUUCCCUCUAUCACCAUUUUUCUUUUGUCCUGACAAGGCUGCAGAUUUUUUCUAUCGCUUUGAUUGGUAAAUUCAGACUAAGGGCAUGUUUGUCCACGAGGACUCAAGUUUAAUCCGUAUCACAUAUUAGAAGUAUUAAAUAUAGGUUAAUUACAAAACUAAUUGCAUAAAUGAAGGCUAAUUCGCAAGACGAAUCUAUUAAGCCUAAUUAGUUCAUGAUUUGACCAUGUGAUGCUACAGUAAAUAUGUGCUAAUCAUGAAUUAAUUAUACUUAAUAGAUUCAUCUCGCGAAUUAGCCAUGGCUUAUGCAAUUAGUUUUAUAAUUAGUUCACGUUUAGUCCUUCUAAUUGGUAUCGAAACAUCCGAUGUGAUCCGAACUAAAAAUUAGUCCAUGCAUCUAACAAGAUGAGCUGGUGAGGAGAUCAAAGAGAAGAAAGGGAAAAAGUGCAUGCUAAGAAGCCCUUAUAAAUCAUUCUUAGUGCCAAAUGCUCUCUGUGUGUUAUAUAUUAGUAUUUAGUCGAUUUAGUAUGCUCGGCUGGUGCACAAAAGCAGCAACCAAAUUUAGACAUAUGUAUUCUACUAUUCUACCUUAACACUAAAAAUAUAUAACUAAUGAAUUAUUGAGUUAAGUUAGCAGAUUUUAUGCCGUGCUGACAUUUGGAGUGGAGACUGAUUUUGUUUUCUUAUGAAAAUUAGAGGUAAUUAAAGUGCUCAAACACAAACAUGAGUGCUUGUUGGAAUAUUACCAAAGAAACGUCGUUCUUAAUUAAUUAUCACUGCUUCAAACAAUCGAACUGUUUUAUUUUUGAAAGUGAACUUUUUAUACAGUAUUUCUAUCUUUUUAGUUAGGUUUCAUCAUGAUUCCGAGGUGUCCACGCAUGACUAAACAGAAUUUAGUACAAACCUAAAAAAGCAAUUAAGGAUCAUGAUUCAACCCUUAUCAUUCUAUGUUUCAUGUGACAAAACUCCUCUAACAAAGAACAUAAAAAAGCAUUAAGACGAAAGGAUGCUUAUGCUGUUGCAUAAUAACUCAACAACUUUUAUAUUGUGUUUUUCUCUGGAUGUUACUUUUUCUGGUGAAAUAUCCUUCUUUUUUGUAAAUGGCUUUCUGAACAUAAUUUUAAAAGGCUUGCUUGUUCAAUUGACCAUCCACUGAUCACUUCAAUUUUCUUGUGAAAACAGCAUGUACAAAACACUCGAGAGAUACCGCAGCUCCAAUUACGGCUCACAGGAAAUAAAAACUCCAUUGGACGGUGAAGUAAGCUUAAUGAGUUCUUAACAUCCUUUUUUGACAUAAUGCUUUUGUGAUCACUUUUGUGAGGAUGUAACGUAUUGUUAUAUAGACAAGAAUAUAAUAUGUUAUUGUGAGUCUGUUGGUCUCUUCCAGUGACACAGAUCGCUCCAAAAAAUAAUGAACCAAAUCUACUUUCUCAUCGGUCAAAUGGACUAUAUUCAUGUCCUUUCCAAACUAAUUGAUAUCAUACUUUUUAUGCUUACUUUCCAUCAUAAAGCUUCAUUGACUAUCAAGGAAAGGAAGUGUGCAGACAUUCUUGCUCAACAUUGUGUAUUAGGAAUAGAGAUGUAGUAGUAUGAUUGACCUAGGCUUGAAUAUACACGACCGUAUGAUCACGUUCUUUGAUUAUGUGUGCAGUGUUUUUUGACUUGAAUGUACAAUCAGGAAACUAUUUCCUAGAGAACUGAAUGUUAGCUCAGUUCGACUAGAUACGGGCAUUUAUAUUUUUUAGUUCAACGAUAAAGCGCGUGCCCAUGCUAUUCUUGUUAGAUGUGUGCUAGAUAGGGCACAUCUAUGUUGGGUGUGUGGGUGUGAUAUGUGUGCGUGAAUGCGCAGGUGCAUCCAAUUUGUGCUCUCAAAAAGGAAGCUGAUUCUUAGUUGGGUUUCACCAACGGGUGGGCUGGCAAAAGGCGAACAAUUUUGGAGAGCAUUGGGCUGUGAGUUCCUAUUUUGUUUGGGGAUGGAUUGCGUGUGGGUUGAGCUUGACAACUGGACCAUAUACAUACAAGCCCAUCUCUCCUUCGCUGAGCCCGCCAUAUGCAAGCCCGGCCCAUGUAUCUUCCUGAAAGGAGAUAGUUCAUUUUUUUCCUUCCACCAAAAUACAAAAAUUUAUAUCUCAAAACCACAUCAUAAAUUGAUAAGUAUACAAAAUUAUGUGUUAGUUUCCAAAAUAAUAUUAUUUGGCAUGAAUGAAAAAUACUUUUUUUUUGUCAAAAUAGAUGCUAAAAUUCUUAAUUUCACGAUUAUACAUAAUACGGCAGGCAUGGGAUUUCUUGAAUGCUGCCUACAUCCUGCCUGAUCAUUUCCGAAGAAAUUCUGUUGUAGAAGUCAGUUGCCAACUUUUUAUGGAACUAUGUUUGUUUGUUUGUUUGGAGAACACGAUCUAUAUACUGACCUUGAACUUUAUAUCUUCCCAAGCAUGAUCUCCCUUUGACUUACUCUGUUUCGUUCUGGUCGUUCUUGUUGAAACUAGAUCAACUACCAGGAUUAUUUGAAGUUGAAGACCAGAGUUGAAUUUCUUCAAACUACACAAAGGUAGUCUUCAAAGAUGGUACUGAUAGUUUGUUUCAGCUGCACUAAAAUUCGUUAACUGGCCUCUGAUGUAGAGAUGUGGCACUAAUUCAUCAUUGUAGAAAUAUUCUUGGUGAGGAUCUGGGUCCACUUAGCAUGAAGGAGCUUGAGCAGCUUGAGAACCAAAUAGAGAUAUCCCUGAAACAUAUCAGGACAAGAAAGGUGGAAAACUUGACUAGCGUCAAUUUGUACAUUUCUAUACGUUGUUUGGCUUGCUUAUGACGAGAGUUGAUAUGUUUACAGAAUCAAAUGUUGCUUGAUCAGCUCUUUGAUCUGAAAAGUAAGGUAAUAAUGAUACGUUUCGAUUACCUUUUGUCUAAUUUUAUUUCUUUUCCUUGCAUUCAUAUAAACUUUGUAAUCGCGAGGUAACAAUUAUGUUUUGCAGGAGCAAGAACUACAGGACCUUAACAAGGACCUCAGGAAAAAGGUAACAUCAUUGACCUUAAAAAAUUUCUUAUUAUGAUGAACAUAGGAUUUUAUUUUUUGGGUGAUGAUGAUGAACUUGGAUGUUACUAAUGCUUAACACUACAUAUUUUUUUCCCCUGUUCUUGACGAAGAUGUGACAUAACACUUUAACCAAAUAAGCUCACCUUUUGUGUUGAGGCUAACUUAAUUCAUUACUGAUCUAUUGCAAGUGCCAGUUGCAAGAAACCAAUGCAGAGAGUGUGCUACAUGUUUCCUGGGAAGAAGGUGGGCACAGUGGCACUAGUGGGAAUGCCAUUGAACCUUAUCAGGGAUUCCUUCAGCACCCAGACAAUGAUCCUUCCCUGCAGAUUGGGUAAGUUUCUCCACUCGUCGAACAGUAGCACAAAAAAAAUAAAAAUCAAGAGAAAGCUGUAAAUAUGCUCAAGGAAGACAUAACUGUUAUCUGAACCUGUGCAAUCGCAACAAUCACAUCAGAGUCAUUUGCUUUGGAGAAACAGGAUCCCAGCACUUUCAGAUUGAGCACUUCAUUUCUUUAGCAUGUUUUCAUUCAUUACUCUUCUUUUUAUAACUAACUAACUCAAUGAAUGGUCGUCCUCUGCGAAGGUACCACCAACAAGCCUACAUGGACCAGCUGAACAACGAAGACAUGGCGGACCCAAACGAGCACGGUGGAUCCGGAUGGAUUUGAAGUGCUCAGACGACUGAAAUAAGCUGAUGCAUGGCCGGCCUAGCAGGACGCAUUUCCGGCCCUCUUCUACGCAUUAUUGAAUGAAAGUUUGAUUGAAACUGCUCUUGAGACUUCCCAAAACGAUGAAGAGAACAGGGGAGCAAUUCGAGCCCGUAUUGU